rnacentral:lncRNA from 1 species
CAAAAACUAUUUAAAAUGAAUUAAAAACAACCAGAAAAGAGAAAAUUCACAAAAAAAUAUCAAAUGACAAAAUAAAAAUUAUUAAAAAUCAGAAAUGGAAACUAGAAUUUAUUUGGAGACUAAUGCAAUUGGUCCCAUAAUUUUUGGAUUAAAAAUGAGAGAGAUAUUGAUUUUUGAAAAUAAUUGGAAUUAAAAGAAAUAAAGAAAAUAGAAAU